rnacentral:lncRNA from 1 species
GGGCUAGGUUACUUCGCAGAAGGCUCUGGCCCUGAGUCCGAGGGGGGACUGCGGGGUCCAGGGGCGAUGAAUGGUGAGGUGGCUUCAGUCCGCCCUCCCCGGGGACGCUGAGCGUGUUCGUGUUUGUGUUUGUGUUGGACACCCCCGCCCCCGCACGUCCGCCUCGUCACUCCUCCCCUCCUCACUCCCGCCACCUGGAGCGAAUCUGACCGUGUCCCUGUUUCCUCCCUCAGCUCCCGCAACCUCCGGAGCUUGUGCGCGUACUUCAGGGACCGGCACCACGUCACCGUCACCUCCUGAGUAUCUGAAAAUUCAAAAGAGAAGCAAUUCAAAGGACUUCCAUUUACUUAUAUCCCCUCUAAUCUGCACAAAAGGUUAAAUGUAGCAGUGCAGCAGUUCUGGCCAUCAAAAUAUGAUUAUUGUACUUUAAAAGCAGCCAUGAGAACUCUGCUCUUUGAUAGACUUCAACUUGCAACAACUAAGGAAUAAUCCAGUUCCAGAGGAGAUUAGGAGUUGGGUGAGAGGAUAGACUCUAAUCUUAGAGAAUUAAGGUAUUGUACAAGUUAUCAAGGCCUAGCAAUCCAACUACUUUGACCAGA